AGGAGCCGGGUUGCGGGAGACCCCAGGUUCGGUUGGGAUUCCCAGCCAGAACGGAGCUUAAGCCGGGCAGGCGAGCGAAUGACGGAGUAGCGAGCUGCACGGCGGCGUGCUGCGCUGUUGAGGACGCUGUCCCGCGCGCUCCCAGGCCGCCCCGGGGCUUGGGGUCUUCGAAGGAUAAUCGGCGCCCGGGGCCGAACAGCGGGGGCACACGGGGCGCUGCCGAAGUGCAAGGCCACGGCCAGAGCUCGAGCCCGACGCGCUGUCUGGAGUCGUAGGUUGGCGCCGUUUGGGGUCAGGGUCUGAGGCUUGGGCGCUGCCUGGGCCGAGCGGAGAUCGGGGUUUGCCUCCCGUCCCCGCUCAGGACCCUGACGUGGCUGAAGCGGCCCCGGGAGCAUGAGCGGGCAGCGCGUGGACGUCAAGGUGGUGAUGCUGGGCAAGGAGUACGUGGGCAAGACUAGCCUGGUGGAGCGCUACGUGCACGACCGCUUUCUGGUGGGGCCUUAUCAGAACGUGAGUGCAUCCGGAGGGGCCAGGCACGGUGGGCGAGGGAGUGGGGGGCCGGUAAUCUGCACCUAUGGCCCCGAUCUCUUCCCUCUCGUUGCAGACCAUCGGGGCCGCCUUCGUGGCCAAGGUGAUGUCGGUCGGAGACCGGACUGUGACAUUAGGUAUUUGGGACACAGCAGGCUCUGAGCGCUAUGAGGCCAUGAGUAGAAUCUACUAUCGGGGUGCCAAGGCUGCCAUCGUCUGCUAUGACCUCACAGACAGCAGCAGCUUUGAGCGAGCAAAGUUCUGGGUGAAGGAACUGCGCAGCCUAGAGGAGGUAGGUGAACAGACCUCACUAGAACACUAGGGGCUGGGGUUUUGUUGGCCUGUGGAGGUGACCCUUGUCUUCUGCCUCAGGGCUGCCAAAUCUACUUAUGUGGCACCAAGAGUGACCUGCUGGAAGAAGACCGGAGGCGUCGACGUGUGGACUUCCAUGACGUCCAGGACUAUGCAGACAGUAGCUGCUCCUCAGCCCUUUGGGGGGUGGGGGUGUGUGGCUGUCUGGGUGGAUCAAAGAAAAUAGGGACUGCCUUGGCUGCCAGGGCAAGGUGCUCUAGGAGGUCUUCCUGGCCUCCUUGAACUGUGGGGUCCAGGAGACUCCCUGAACUGCUAGCCCUCCCUUUUGUCUGUUUAUCUAAUUCUCAGGUAUGAGGCUUUAGUCACUUCUCUUUACAGAUAUCAAAGCUCAGCUCUUUGAAACAUCCAGCAAGACAGGCCAGAGUGUGGACGAGCUCUUCCAGAAAGUGGCAGAGGAUUACGUCAGUGUGGCUGCCUUCCAGGUGAUGACAGAGGACAAGGGCGUGGAUCUGGGCCAGAAGCCAAACCCCUACUUCUACAGCUGUUGUCAUCACUGAGUCAGCACUCACCUGGCCUGGGGGAAUUAAAGGAAUUCCCCGUAAGGGCUGGACCCAGCUCCUUUCUGGGCUUGGGUAGUCAAAUGUCUGAGCUACCCCAGGUCCUCAUGUCAGCAGAGUGGCGCCUGCCUGUGCUGGCCCAUGGAACGGAGACAGCAUUGGGCUGACUGUGGGCAUGAGGAGGGAUAAGGGCUGAUUUGGACCCCAGGCUUCUGCCCUGGACAGCACUUGUGUCUGCAGAUUAUUUAAGUGGCUUUUGAUCUGUAAAUAAAAUCAAUGCACUGUGAAUCAC
rnacentral:sRNA from 1 species